UCGAGCGCCAUUUCUACCCUGGAGCCCUGCUCUGUGAUGGGCCCCGUCCUCGCGGACGGGCCCGAAACCCGUGGGCGCCGUCGUCCGGCCCCGAGCGUAGCAAGAGAAAUCCCUCGCUCGGAGUGCCCGCCGCCGGCCGCCCCGAAAACCAUUUUUACAAGGUUGGCCUCGGAUCAGGUGGGGAUACCCGCUGAACUUAA
rnacentral:misc_RNA from 1 species